UGAGUAUACAUCGGAACGUGCCCAGUAGUGGGGGAUAACCCGGCGAAAGCCGGACUAAUACCGCAUACGACCUAUGGGUGAAAGCGGGGGAUCGCAAGACCUUGCGCUAUUGGAGCGGCCGAUGUCAGAUUAGCUUGUUGGUGGGGUAAAAGCCCACCAAGGCGACGAUCUGUAGCUGGUCUGAGAGGACGACCAGCCACACUGGGACUGAGACGCGGCCCAGACUCCUACGGGAGGCAGCAGUGGGGAAUUUUGGACAAUGGGCGCAAGCCUGAUCCAGCCAUGCCGCGUGCGGGAAGAAGGCCUUCGGGUUGUAAACCGCUUUUGUCAGGGAAGAAACGCUCUAGGCUAAUACCUUGGAGUAAUGACGGUACCUGAAGAAUAAGCACCGGCUAACUACGUGACCAGCAGCCGCGGUAAUACGUAGGGUGCAAGCGUUAAUCGGAAUUACUGGGCGUAAAAGCGUGCCGCAGGCGGAUUUGCAAGACAGAUGUGAAUCCCCGGGCUUAACUGGGAAUUGCAUUUGGUGACUUGCAUGGACUAGAGUGCGGAAAGAG
rnacentral:rRNA from 1 species